CGGGCUAUGGCGCAGCUUGGUAGCGCGCCUGACUGGGGGUCAGGAGGUCGCAAGUUCAAAUCUUGUUAGCCCGACCA
rnacentral:tRNA from 4 species